rnacentral:rRNA from 1 species
UACAGAGGUGCCGAGCGUUAGGCGGAAUCACUGGGCUUAAAGCGUGUGUAGGCGGAUGCCUAAGUACCUUGUGGAAAUCCCCACGGCUUAACCGUGGAACUGCUCGGUAUACUGGGUGUCUUGAGCCACUUAGGGGCUACCGGAACAAAUGGUGGAGCGGUGAAAUGCGUAGAUAUCGGGAGGAACACCUGUGGCGAAAGCGGCUCACUGGACCACAACUGACGCUGAGGCGCGAAAAGCUAGGGGAGCAAACAGGG